GUGUCAGCCGCCGCGGUAAUACGGAGGAUGCGAGCGUUAUUCGGAAUCAUUGGGUUUAAAGGGUCUGUAGGCGGGCUAUUAAGUCAGGGGUGAAAUCUUACAGCUUAACUGUGAAAUUGCCUUUGAUACUGGUAGUCUUGAAUAUUUGUGAAGUUUUUGGAAUGUGUAGUGUAGCGGUGAAAUGCUUAGAUAUUACACAGAACACCGAUUGCGAAGGCAGGGGACUAACAAAUGAUUGACGCUGAGAGACGAGAGCGUGGGGAGCGAACAGGAUUAGAAACCCUUGUAGUCC
rnacentral:rRNA from 1 species